CAACAUCCAGCCAGCCUCGUCCAAAUGGAGACAUAACCAGACGCUCUCUCUGAGGAUCAGGAAGCAAAUUUUAAAGUUCUUGGAUGCUGAAAAGGACAUUUCUGUCCUAAAGGGAACCCUGAAGCCUGGAGAUAUUAUUCAUUACAUCUUCGAUCGAGACAGCACCAUGAAUGUGUCCCAGAACCUCUACGAGCUCCUCCCCAGGACUUCGCCACUGAAGAAUAAGCACUUUGGGACUUGUGCCAUCGUGGGCAACUCAGGGGUCUUGCUGAACAGCGGCUGUGGGCAGGAGAUUGACGCCCACAGCUUCGUCAUCAGGUGCAACCUGGCCCCAGUACAGGAGUAUGCCCGGGAUGUGGGGCUCAAGACAGACCUGGUAACCAUGAACCCCUCGGUCAUCCAGCGGGCCUUUGAGGACUUGGUCAAUGCCACAUGGCGGGAGAAGCUGCUGCAACGGCUGCACAGCCUCAAUGGCAGCAUCCUGUGGAUCCCUGCCUUCAUGGCCCGGGGCGGCAAGGAGCGUGUUGAGUGGGUCAACGAGCUUAUCCUGAAGCACCACGUCAACGUGCGCACUGCAUACCCCUCGCUGCGCCUGCUGCACGCUGUUCGUGGGUGAGCGGCCUCCCUACAGACCAGUAGGACCGUCACUAAGUGUGGGAGAUUCUUGGUAGGCAGUAUCCCUUUCCCAGGUGCAUUUCCAUCCCAGCUCCACCACUCAUUUGCUGGAUGGCCUCAGCAAGUCACCUGGCCUUUCUGAGCCUCCAUUCCUUGAGAGAUGAGGGGGUUUGGCAAGUGGGUUUCAUCUGG
rnacentral:sRNA from 1 species